rnacentral:rRNA from 1 species
GAUGAACGCUGGCGGCGUGCUUAACACAUGCAAGUCGAACGAAGCACUUUAUUUGAUUUCCUUCGGGACUGAUUAUUUUGUGACUGAGUGGCGGACGGGUGAGUAACGCGUGGGUAACCUGCCUUGUACAGGGGGAUAACAGUUGGAAACGGCUGCUAAUACCGCAUAAGCGCACGGCAUCGCAUGAUGCAGUGUGAAAAACUCCGGUGGUAUAAGAUGGACCCGCGUUGGAUUAGCUAGUUGGUGAGGUAACGGCCCACCAAGGCGACGAUCCAUAGCCGACCCGAGAGGGUGACCGGCCACAUUGGGACUGAGACACGGCCCAAACUCCUACGGGAGGCAGCAGUGGGGAAUAUUGCACAAUGGGCGAAAGCCUGAUGCAGCGACGCCGCGUGAGCGAAGAAGUAUUUCGGUAUGUAAAGCUCUAUCAGCAGGGAAGAUAAUGACGGUACCUGACUAAGAAGCACCGGCUAAAUACGUG